UUCCGGAUGGUGAAAUGGUAUCACUACGGGUUUUGGUCCCGUCAUUCUAGGUUCGAGUCCUAGUCCGGAAACCA
rnacentral:tRNA from 1 species